AAAAAAACUCUACAUGAAUAUUUGUUUUUUUAUUUUUUCUUUCUAACUUCUGAAAUUUAUAUUUUAUCUUCUUAAAAUUUUAGAAAUAUUUUCAGAGAGUUACGAUAUUAAUAAAAUAUGGCUAAUCUAGAUCAAAUUGUCUUUUACUUAUUUUAUAAGGAAAUUUUUUUAAUGUAUUUUUAUUAUUUUUUAGAGGAUUUUCGAUGUAAGUUUUAAGAAAUAAAUAAAACUGUGAUGGAAUCCUGACAAAGGAGUAUUAAAUACAUUAACUAAAAAUUUUGAGGAAUAAAUAUAAAUUUUUAAAAUAAAAAAAUAAAA
rnacentral:lncRNA from 1 species